rnacentral:rRNA from 1 species
GACGAACGCUGGCGGCGUGCUUAACACAUGCAAGUCGAACGGAAAGGCCCUGCUUUUGUGGGGUGCUCGAGUGGCGAACGGGUGAGUAACACGUGAGUAACCUGCCCUUGACUUUGGGAUAACUUCAGGAAACUGGGGCUAAUACCGGAUAGGAGCUCCUGCUGCAUGGUGGGGGUUGGAAAGUUUCGGCGGUUGGGGAUGGACUCGCGGCUUAUCAGCUUGUUGGUGGGGUAGUGGCUUACCAAGGCUUUGACGGGUAGCCGGCCUGGGAGGGUGACCGGCCACAUUGGGACUGGGAUGCGGCCCAGACUCCUACGGGAGGCAGCGGUGGGGAAUGUUGCACAAUGGGCGGAAGCCUGAUGCAGCAACGCCGCGUGCGGGAUGACGGCCUUCGGGUUGUAAUCCGCUUCCGCCUGUGACGAAGCGUGAGUGACAGUAAUGGGUAAAGAAGCACCGGCUAACUACGUG